rnacentral:rRNA from 1 species
UAGGGAAUCUUCCACAAUGGACGCAAGUCUGAUGGAGCAACGCCGCGUGAGUGAAGAAGGUUUUCGGACCGUAAAGCUCUGUUGUUGGUGAAGAAGGAUAGAGGUAGUAACUGGCCUUUAUUUGACGGUAAUCAACCAGAAAGUCACGGCUAACUACGUGCCAGCAGCCGCGGUAAUCGUAGGUGGCAAGCGUUGUCCGGAUUUAUUGGGCGUAAAGCGAGCGCAGGCGGAAGAAUAAGUCUGAUGUGAAAGCCCUCGGCUUAACCGAGGAAUUGCAUCGGAAACUGUUUUCUUGAGUGCAGAAGAGGAGAGUAGAACUCCAUGUGUAGCGGUGGAAUGCGUAGAUAUAUGGAAGAAUACCAGUGGCGAAGGCGGCUCUCUGGUCUGCAACUGACGCUGAGGCUCGAAAGCAUGGGUAGCGAACAGGAUUAGAUACCCUGGUAGUCCAUGCCGUAAACGAUGAGUGCUAAGUGUUGGG